rnacentral:rRNA from 1 species
UACGAAGGGGGCUAGCGUUGUUCGGAAUCACUGGGCGUAAAGGGUGCGUAGGUGGGCUGGUAAGUCAGUGGUGAAAUCUCCAGGCUUAACUUGGAAACUGCCAUUGAUACUAUCAGUCUUGAAUACCGUGGAGGUCAGCGGAAUAUGUCAUGUAGCGGUGAAAUGCUUAGAUAUGACAUAGAACACCAAUUGCGAAGGCAGCUGGCUACACGAAUAUUGACACUGAUGCACGAAAGCGUGGGGAUCAAACAGG